UUAGCUCCAGGGAGACAGUGCUCCGCACGGAUGCUGAGGACCCAAUGCCUGAUAUCUAUAAAUUCAACUUACCACCUCACUUGAAGCAGAGCUAGCAAACAUUUGAGGAAGAGUAACAUCGUAAAGGAGAAGGGCCAAGAAGAAUAACCACACGUAUCCUGACUCCAACCACCUACAAGGCUCACAUGUGGAAGGUCAGGCUCUGUUUGCUUCCCACUUAUUGCCUACAUAGCUGGAGAAACUGACCUACCUUCAAGAAAGGUUACUCUGUUCUGGCCUUGGAUUGGAGGAACAGAAUUUCUUGCUGGCUUUGAAGAAACAAACAUUCAUGUUACAAAGUGUUCUCUAUGAAGAAACAAACAUUCAUGAUACAAAGUGUUUAUGGAGAGAACAUUAUGACAUUGGGACUGCAGCUGAUGUCUCAGACCUAAGGGUGGUCCCAGCUGAGGAUCAGUAAGAGCUGUGCUGUCAGUCAUAUAUGUGCAAGAAAAUGAAUUCUAUCCAUGAUCAUGUGAUGUUAGAAUAAGAUCCUGGUCUUCAGAAAGGAACAAGAGUUGGCUGACAUCUUGCUGGUCACCUUGUGAAGAGUCUGUGGAGAGGACCUAGUGUGUUAGUGCCUAAAUGUGUGACCCAUGAAAAUUAUGAAAAAAUAAAUGUUUUAAUGUUUAAAGAUA